UACGGAGGGGGCGAGCGUUGUUCGGAAUCAUUGGGCGUAAAGGGCGCGUAGGCGGCCUUGUAAGUCAGAUGUGAAAGCCCUUGGCUUAACCAAGGAACUGCAUCUGAAACUGCAGGGCUUGAGUCCGGGAAGGGAGAGUGGAAUUCCCAGUGUAGCGGUGAAAUGCGUAGAUAUUGGGAGGAACACCGGUGGCGAAGGCGGCUCUCUGGACCGGUACUGACGCUGAUGCGCGAAAGCUAGGGGAGCAAACGGG
rnacentral:rRNA from 1 species